AUGCUGUCCUUGAGGCUGAGGUAGUAGAUUGAAUAGUUGUGGAGUCCUACUCUCCCUCUGAGCUAACUAUACAAUCUACUGUCUUUCCUAAGGAGACAGUCA
rnacentral:miRNA from 1 species